GCGCGACCUACCAUGCAGUCGAGCGGAUGAAGGGAGCUUGCUCCUGGAUUCAGCGGCGGAGGGGUGAGUAAUGCCUAGGAAUCUGCCUGGUAGUGGGGGAUAACGUCCGGAAACGGGCGCUAAUACCGCAUACGUCCUGAGGGAGAAAGUGGGGGAUCUUCGGACCUCACGCUAUCAGAUGAGCCUAGGUCGGAUUAGCUAGUUGGUGGGGUAAAGGCCUACCAAGGCGACGAUCCGUAACUGGUCUGAGAGGAUGAUCAGUCACACUGGAACUGAGACACGGUCCAGACUCCUACGGGAGGCAGCAGUGGGGAAUAUUGGACAAUGGGCGAAAGCCUGAUCCAGCCAUGCCGCGUGUGUGAAGAAGGUCUUCGGAUUGUAAAGCACUUUAAGUUGGGAGGAAGGGCAGUGAGUUAAUACCUUGCUGUUUUGACGUUACCAACAGAAUAAGCACCGGCUAACUUCGUGCCUGCAGCCGCGGUAAUACGAAGGGUGCGUGCGUUAAUCGGAAUUACUGGGCGUUAAGCGCGCGUAGGUGGUUCUGCAAGUUGGAUGUGAAAUCCCCGGGCUCGUCCUGGGAACUGCAUCCUUAACUACUGAGCUAGAGUUCGGUACAGGGUGGUGGAAGUUCCUGUGUAGCGGUGAAAUGGGUAGAUAUAGGAAGGUACACCAGUGGCGUAGGCGACGUCCUGGACUGAUACUGACUCUGAGGUGCGUAAGCGUGAGGAGCAAUCAGGAUUAGAAACCCUGGUACUCCACGCCGUUAACGAUGUCGACUAGCCCUUGGGAUCGUUGAGAUCUAAGUGGCCCAGC
rnacentral:rRNA from 1 species